rnacentral:rRNA from 1 species
GGUUAAGCGACUAAGCGUACACGGUGGAUGCCCUGGCAGUCAGAGGCGAUGAAGGACGUGCUAAUCUGCGAUAAGCGUCGGUAAGGUGAUAUGAACCGUUAUAACCGGCGAUUUCCGAAUGGGGAAACCCAGUGUGAUUCGUCACACUAUCAUUAACUGAAUCCAUAGGUUAAUGAGGCGAACCGGGGGAACUGAAACAUCUAAGUACCCCGAGGAAAAGAAAUCAACCGAGAUUCCCCCAGUAGCGGCGAGCGAACGGGGAGCAGCCCAGAGCCUGAAUCAGUGUGUGUGUUAGUGGAAGCGUCUGGAAAGGCGUGCGAUACAGGGUGACAGCCCCGUACACAAAAAUGCACAUGCUGUGAGCUCGAUGAGUAGGGCGGGACACGUGGUAUCCUGUCUGAAUAUGGGGGGACCAUCCUCCAAGGCUAAAUACUCCUGACUGACCGAUAGUGAACCAGUACCGUGAGGGAAAGGCGAAAAGAACCCCGGCGAGGGGAGUGAAAAAGAACCUGAAACCGUGUACGUACAAGCAGUGGGAGCACGCUUAGGCGUGUGACUGCGUACCUUUUGUAUAAUGGGUCAGCGACUUAUAUUCUGUAGCAAGGUUAACCGAAUAGGGGAGCCGAAGGGAAACCGAGUCUUAACUGGGCGUUAAGUUGCAGGGUAUAGACCCGAAACCCGGUGAUCUAGCCAUGGGCAGGUUGAAGGUUGGGUAACACUAACUGGAGGACCGAACCGACUAAUGUUGAAAAAUUAGCGGAUGACUUGUGGCUGGGGGUGAAAGGCCAAUCAAACCGGGAGAUAGCUGGUUCUCCCCGAAAGCUAUUUAGGUAGCGCCUCGUGAAUUCAUCUCCGGGGGUAGAGCACUGUUUCGGCAAGGGGGUCAUCCCGACUUACCAACCCGAUGCAAACUGCGAAUACCGGAGAAUGUUAUCACGGGAGACACACGGCGGGUGCUAACGUCCGUCGUGAAGAGGGAAACAACCCAGACCGCCAGCUAAGGUCCCAAAGUCAUGGUUAAGUGGGAAACGAUGUGGGAAGGCCCAGACAGCCAGGAUGUUGGCUUAGAAGCAGCCAUCAUUUAAAGAAAGCGUAAUAGCUCACUGGUCGAGUCGGCCUGCGCGGAAGAUGUAACGGGGCUAAACCAUGCACCGAAGCUGCGGCAGCGACGCUUAUGCGUUGUUGGGUAGGGGAGCGUUCUGUAAGCCUGCGAAGGUGUGCUGUGAGGCAUGCUGGAGGUAUCAGAAGUGCGAAUGCUGACAUAAGUAACGAUAAAGCGGGUGAAAAGCCCGCUCGCCGGAAGACCAAGGGUUCCUGUCCAACGUUAAUCGGGGCAGGGUGAGUCGACCCCUAAGGCGAGGCCGAAAGGCGUAGUCGAUGGGAAACAGGUUAAUAUUCCUGUACUUGGUGUUACUGCGAAGGGGGGACGGAGAAGGCUAUGUUGGCCGGGCGACGGUUGUCCCGGUUUAAGCGUGUAGGCUGGUUUUCCAGGCAAAUCCGGAAAAUCAAGGCUGAGGCGUGAUGACGAGGCACUACGGUGCUGAAGCAACAAAUGCCCUGCUUCCAGGAAAAGCCUCUAAGCAUCAGGUAACAUCAAAUCGUACCCCAAACCGACACAGGUGGUCAGGUAGAGAAUACCAAGGCGCUUGAGAGAACUCGGGUGAAGGAACUAGGCAAAAUGGUGCCGUAACUUCGGGAGAAGG